CCCUGAGUGGUGCAAUUGGUUAAGCACUCAGCUACAAACUGAAAUGCUGGUGGUUCAAAUCUACCCAGAGGCA
rnacentral:tRNA from 1 species